AGAACGAACGCUGGCGGCAUGCCUAAUACAUGCAAGUCGAACGAGAUCUUCGGAUCUAGUGGCGCACGGGUGCGUAACGCGUGGGAAUCUACCCUUGGGUUCGGAAUAACAGUUGGAAACGACUGCUAACACCGGAUGAUGACGAAAGUCCAAAGAUUUAUCGCCCAGGGAUGAGCCCGCGUAGGAUUAGCUAGUUGGUGAGGUAAAGGCUCACCAAGGCUACGAUCCUUAGCUGGUCUGAGAGGAUGAUCACGCCACACGUGGGACUGAGACACGGCCCAGACUCCGUACGGGAGGCAGACGAGGUAGGGAAUAGUUGGACAAGUCGGGGGACAACCCGUGACUACCAGACAAGUCGCCGCGGUGAGUGAGUGGAA
rnacentral:rRNA from 1 species